rnacentral:lncRNA from 1 species
UAUUGGCGUCAUCAUCAUAACAUCGCCAAUUCCACUGCAUCAAGUAACUACCGAGAGUCACGUGUUCCAAUUCCAAAAAUGAUUCAACAUAUAAGCAGAGCUUUUAUGAACACAACAGGUCGCCUAAUGCUGACAAGACAGACGUGUAAGCAGAUUCGUAGAAUGUCGUCUGGCGCACCAGUGGAAGUCAUACCGUACGGUAAUUUGAUGUUGUUUACUGGCGCAGUACUGGGCAUUGGUAGCUGGGCUUUUGUGGCUAAACAUGGAAUUGUAUUGUGUAUGGAACCAUCACGUAACAUCAGAGCACCCGACUGGAGAGAACUCAAGUCAACACGAGAAUAAAUAACACUCCGGCCAUUGAGAGAAACUUAUACUACUCGUUAUUUGCAAUCUGAUGAACCUUAUUAAAGACGACAAUGACAACACCACUAGUGACUAGUAACUAGUAACCGCGACUAAACACAUUAUUUCAUUUACGUUAAUAGAGUAUUCUGACUGCGUUCCUCGUACCAGCAUUACAUGUACAUUGUUAUGUAAAACGGAAACUACCUCUUGUUUCUUUUUUGUGUCGCAAAAAUAUAGUUAAAUAUUAUAAAAUA